rnacentral:rRNA from 1 species
CAGUCGCCGCGGUAAUACGUAGGUGGCAAGCGUUGUCCGGAAUUAUUGAGCGUAAAGGGCUCGCAGGCGGUUUCUUAAGUCUGAUGUGAAAGCCCCCGGCUCAACCGGGGAGGGUCAUUGGAAACUGGGAAUCUUGAGUGCAGAAGAGGAGAGUGGAAUUCCACGUGUAGCGGUGAAAUGCGUAGAGAUGUGGAGGAACACCAGUGGCGAAGGCGACUCUCUGGUCUGUAACUGACGCUGAGGAGCGAAAGCGUGGGGAGCGAACAGGAUUAGAUACCCCCGUAGUCCCUGUCUCUUAUAA